AUUAAUUUGAGAGUUUGAUCCUGGCUCAGGACGAACGCUGGCGGCGUGCCUAAUACAUGCAAGUCGAACGAACUCUGGUAUUGAUUGGUGCUUGCAUCAUGAUUUACAUUUGAGUGAGUGGCGAACUGGUGAGUAACACGUGGGAAACCUGCCCAGAAGCGGGGGAUAACACCUGGAAACAGAUGCUAAUACCGCAUAACAACUUGGACCGCAUGGUCCGAGUUUGAAAGAUGGCUUCGGCUAUCACUUUUGGAUGGUCCCGCGGCGUAUUAGCUAGAUGGUGGGGUAACGGCUCACCAUGGCAAUGAUACGUAGCCGACCUGAGAGGGUAAUCGGCCACAUUGGGACUGAGACACGGCCCAAACUCCUACGGGAGGCAGCAGUAGGGAAUCUUCCACAAUGGACGAAAGUCUGAUGGAGCAACGCCGCGUGAGUGAAGAAGGGUUUCGGCUCGUAAAACUCUGUUGUUAAAGAAGAACAUAUCUGAGAGUAACUGUUCAGGUAUUGACGGUAUUUAACCAGAAAGCCACGGCUAACUACGUGCCAGCAGCCGCGGUAAUACGUAGGUGGCAAGCGUUGUCCGGAUUUAUUGGGCGUAAAGCGAGCGCAGGCGGUUUUUUAAGUCUGAUGUGAAAGCCUUCGGCUCAACCGAAGAAGUGCAUCGGAAACUGGGAAACUUGAGUGCAGAAGAGGACAGUGGAACUCCAUGUGUAGCGGUGAAAUGCGUAGAUAUAUGGAAGAACACCAGUGGCGAAGGCGGCUGUCUGGUCUGUAACUGACGCUGAGGCUCGAAAGUAUGGGUAGCAAACAGGAUUAGAUACCCUGGUAGUCCAUACCGUAAACGAUGAAUGCUAAGUGUUGGAGGGUUUCCGCCCUUCAGUGCUGCAGCUAACGCAUUAAGCAUUCCGCCUGGGGAGUACGGCCGCAAGGCUGAAACUCAAAGGAAUUGACGGGGGCCCGCACAAGCGGUGGAGCAUGUGGUUUAAUUCGAAGCUACGCGAAGAACCUUACCAGGUCUUGACAUACUAUGCAAAUCUAAGAGAUUAGACGUUCCCUUCGGGGACAUGGAUACAGGUGGUGCAUGGUUGUCGUCAGCUCGUGUCGUGAGAUGUUGGGUUAAGUCCCGCAACGAGCGCAACCCUUAUUAUCAGUUGCCAGCAUUAAGUUGGGCACUCUGGUGAGACUGCCGGUGACAAACCGGAGGAAGGUGGGGAUGACGUCAAAUCAUCAUGCCCCUUAUGACCUGGGCUACACACGUGCUACAAUGGAUGGUACAACGAGUUGCGAACUCGCGAGAGUAAGCUAAUCUCUUAAAGCCAUUCUCAGUUCGGAUUGUAGGCUGCAACUCGCCUACAUGAAGUCGGAAUCGCUAGUAAUCGCGGAUCAGCAUGCCGCGGUGAAUACGUUCCCGGGCCUUGUACACACCGCCCGUCACACCAUGAGAGUUUGUAACACCCAAAGUCGGUGGGGUAACCUUUUAGGAACCAGCCGCCUAAGGUGGGACAGAUGAUUAGGGUGAAGUCGUAACAAGGUAGCCGUAGGAGAA
rnacentral:rRNA from 4 species